AGUAAAAAGUAAUCUUCAAAAUGUCAUGUCUUGGUAACAAUGCUUAUAAUUUGAAUUAUGAGAUGAAUAAGAAGGGAUAUCAUUUAUGUAUGAUCAUUAGUAGAAAUUUAGCUACAUAAUUAUGAUAAAAUAAAAUCUUCUGUAUAGGCAGAUGUGCCAUAUUCUUUGUUUUUGUAUGAAUGUUCUGCCGAAAUUUAUCGGGUGGGAUUUUUUGGUGUUUUGAACAUGGAUGAACCAAAAGUCAUUAACGUCUUACCUUAUAUUUUCACACUUGAAAGUGUAAUUGUUGUCGGUCUGGAUAAUGUACUGUCAGUAAUUUUAGUCGAAAAUAAAAUAUUCAUGUAUUUUCUUAAUAAAGUAUUUAUG
rnacentral:misc_RNA from 1 species